UGGGAGAGCCCUGACUGGUGUGGCUCAGUGGUUGAGAGCCGGCCUGUGAAUGAAAAGGUCCCCAGUUCAAUUCCCAGUCAGG